UGAGGAAUAUUGGUCAAUGGUCGCAAGACUGAACCAGCCAUGCCGCGUGCAGGAAGACGGUCCUAUGGAUUGUAAACUGCUUUUAUACAGGAAGAAACCCUCCCACGUGUGGGAGCUUGACGGUACUGUAGGAAUAAGGAUCGGCUAACUCCGUGCCAGCAGCCGCGGUAAUACGGAGGAUCCAAGCGUUAUCCGGAAUCAUUGGGUUUAAAGGGUCCGUAGGCGGUCUUAUAAGUCAGUGGUGAAAGCCCAUCGCUCAACGAUGGAACUGCCAUUGAUACUGUAAGACUUGAAUGCUUAGGAAGUAACUAGAAUAUGUAGUGUAGCGGUGAAAUGCUUAGAUAUUACAUGGAAUACCAAUUGCGAAGGCAGGUUACUACUAAGUGAUUGACGCUGAUGGACGAAAGCGUGGGGAGCGAACAGGAUUAGAUACCCUGGUAGUCCACGCCGUAAACGAUGGAUACUAGCUGUUCGGCGCAAGUUGAGUGGCUAAGCGAAAGUGAUAAGUAUCCCCACCUGGGGAGUACGCACGCAAGUGUGAAACUCAAAGGAAUUCGACGGGGUCAUAGCUGUUUCCUG
rnacentral:rRNA from 1 species